rnacentral:rRNA from 1 species
GGACGAACGCUGGCGGCGUGCCUAAUACAUGCAAGUCGAGCGAGUCUGCCUUGAAGAUCGGAGUGCUUGCACUCUGUGAAACAAGAUACAGGCUAGCGGCGGACGGGUGAGUAACACGUGGGUAACCUGCCCAAGAGAUCGGGAUAACACCUGGAAACAGAUGCUAAUACCGGAUAACAACAGAUGAUGCCUAUCAACUGUUUAAAAGAUGGUUCUGCUAUCACUCUUGGAUGGACCUGCGGUGCAUUAGCUAGUUGGUAGGGUAACGGCCUACCAAGGCGAUGAUGCAUAGCCGAGUUGAGAGACUGAUCGGCCACAUUGGGACUGAGACACGGCCCAAACUCCUACGGGAGGCAGCAGUAGGGAAUCUUCCACAAUGGACGCAAGUCUGAUGGAGCAACGCCGCGUGAGUGAAGAAGGGUUUCGGCUCGUAAAGCUCUGUUGUUGGUGAAGAAGGACAGGGGUAGUAACUGACCUUUGUUUGACGGUAAUCAACCAGAAAGUCACGGCUAACUACGUGCCAGCAGCCGCGGUAAUACGUAGGUGGCAAGCGUUGUCCGGAUUUAUUGGGCGUAAAACGAGCGCAGGCGAAAGAAUAAGUCUGAUGUGAAAGCCCUCGGCUUAACCGAGGAACUGCAUCGGAAACUGUUUUUCUUGAGUGCAGAAGAGGAGAGUGGAACUCCAUGUGUAGCGGUGGAAUGCGUAGAUAUAUGGAAGAACACCAGUGGCGAAGGCGGCUCUCUGGUCUGCAACUGACGCUGAGGCUCGAAAGCAUGGGUAGCGAACAGGAUUAGAUACCCUGGUAGUCCAUGCCGUAAACGAUGAGUGCUAAGUGUUGGGAGGUUUCCGCCUCUCAGUGCUGCAGCUAACGCAUUAAGCACUCCGCCUGGGGAGUACGACCGCAAGGUUGAAACUCAAGGAAUUGACGGGGGCCCGCACAAGCGGUGGAGCAUGUGGUUUAAUUCGAAGCAACGCGAAGAACCUUACCAGGUCUUGACAUCUAGUGCCAUUUGUAGAGAUACAAAGUCCCCUUCGG